rnacentral:misc_RNA from 1 species
AAGUCGUAACAAGGUUUCCGUAGGUGAACCUGCGGAAGGAUCAUUAACACGUAUCCAAACGUUAAAACCCCCCCCGUGAACCUUCAUCCUGCUCUUGUAACCCGCGUAGUUCGCAAUCUCUGAUAAAUCAUAGCCCGGAAAGUUGUAGUAAUCCAGAGACCUCUGGCUACGUGCGAACAUUGGAACAGUUACAAUCGAGUCGGAAAGUGUCAUUGAUUGUGCAAGGAUAGCGCUUCUACGAUUCCUGUAGACCGUACACUCGGGCAGCAGCUUUGCCAAAGGGUCCCCAUGCCCCCUAAUAACCCCACAGUUUAAUGUGAAGCUCAAUGUAAUACAUUGGGUAAAAAAACCGAACAACUGUUAACAAUGGAUAUCUUGGUUCUC